UGUUGAAACACUGGUUGCUGUAUGAUCACUGAAGUUAAGCUAUAUUGAGCCUAGUCAGUACCUAGAUAGGUGACCACUUGGAAAUACCAGGUGCUGUAAG